AAAGAGAAUUUGUUGUCCGGGGGAAACCCUCCCGGGCCGCAACCUCCAUCCCUUGCUUAUUAUACUUGUUUGUUGCUUUGGCGGGUCGCGGGUGUUUGCCCCCGGUGAACCCCCCCGUUGGCCCCGGCUGACGAGUGCCCGCCAACAGCCAAAACUACAAAACCUUGAAUUAAUUGAAGUCUGAUUUUACUAUGAAAAUAGCCUA
rnacentral:misc_RNA from 1 species